CGCCCGCUCGUCCCCGCCCCUCCUUCCCCCCCUCCACCGUUCCAAGUGUCUUGUGUGUGCGUGCGCCAGGGGGGCGGGAGGGACGGGGAGGAGGGGGCGGCCAUGCCGAGGGGGCGGCCCCCCGAGCCCGGCGGGGAGAGUGGCGAGCCCGGCGCCGAGGCAGAUGACGUUCUGACACCGAAUACAGAGAACGGAAAUUUUCCCUACCAAGUACCUAACUUGCAUAAGUGUGAGAUUUGUUUGCUGUCUUUUCCAAAAGAGACCCAGUUCCAGCGCCAUAUGAGGGAUCAUGAGCAAAAUGACAAGCCUCACCGAUGUGACCAGUGUCCGAUGUCAUUUAAUGUUGAAUUCAACUUGACACUUCAUAAAUGUACUCACAAUGGCGAAGAUCCUACCUGUCCUGUGUGCAACAAGAAAUUCUCCAGAGUAGCCAGUCUGAAAGCUCAUAUAAUGCUACAUGAGAAAGAGGAGAAUCUUAUCUGUUCAGAAUGUGGAGAUGAAUUCACUUUACAGAGUCAGCUGUCCAUACACAUGGAAGAACAUCGUCAAGAACUGGCAGGCAGCAGGAUCCACAGCUGCAAAUCUUGCAAAAAGGAAUUUGAAACUUCCUCGCAGCUAAAGGAGCAUAUGAAAACUCACUAUAAAAUAAGAGUAUCAAAUACUAGAUCUUACAACAGAAACAUUGACAGAAGUGGGUUUACCUAUUCCUGUCCUCACUGUGGAAAGACGUUCCAGAAACCAAGUCAGUUAACACGACAUGUUAGAAUACACACAGGUGAAAGACCAUUCAAAUGCAGCGAGUGUGGGAAAGCCUUUAACCAGAAGGGAGCUCUGCAGACUCACAUGAUCAAGCACACAGGGGAGAAGCCCCACGCCUGUGCCUUUUGUCCCGCAGCCUUUUCCCAGAAGGGCAAUCUGCAGUCGCACAUACAGCGAGUGCAUUCGGAGGUGAAGAAUGGCCCUACAUACAACUGUACAGAAUGUAGCUGUGUCUUCAAAAGCUUGGGUAGUUUAAAUACACAUAUCAGCAAGAUGCACAUGGGUGGUCAACAGACUUCUGCGAGUGCUUCAACAGAUGUAUCUCAUGUUACAGCAGACCCUGUCACCCAGCCUUUAACAACAUCCCCUGCUAAUCUUUUGCAACCUGUUGAUAACAAAUGGAAGAAUGCCACACAUUUUCGGUCUCCACUUCUUCAACAGACAGAAAACCAGGUGUCUCCAGCUGCUGCUCACCAGGGUCAGCAGGCUGUCACUGAUGUCAUUCAGCAGCUCCUUGAGUUAUCAGAACCAGGUCCUGUAGAAAAUAACCAACCUCAACAACCUGGUCAACAGCUCAACAUUGCGGUGGGAAUCAGUAGAGAUAUUUUGCAGCAAGCGUUAGAGAACAGUGGGUUGUCUUCAAUUCCUGUCUCUGCACAUUCUACUGACUGCAGCCAGGCUAAGACUGCUGGACCCCAGGAUCAGAACCCAGAUGUCCCAACUCUCUCAAAUCAUCAAGCUGAUUCUAAUAAUGCAGAACAAGAUAAGGAGCAAGAGAGUACAGAUAAACAAGAUAAAAAAGAAAAAAAGUUUAUUAAGAAAAAAUCACCAUUUUUGCCUGGUUCUAUACGUGAAGAAAAUGGAAUAAGGUGGCAUGUUUGUCCAUAUUGCUCUAAAGAAUUUAAAAAACCAAGUGAUCUAGUGCGCCACAUUCGCAUUCAUACCCACGAGAAGCCAUUCAAGUGUCCCCAGUGUUUCCGCGCCUUUGCAGUUAAGAGUACUCUAACAGCGCACAUAAAAACACACACUGGCAUCAAAGCUUUCAAGUGCCAAUUUUGUAUGAAAAGCUUUUCCACCUCAGGGAGUUUAAAAGUUCACAUUCGUCUACAUACAGGUGUUAGACCUUUUGCUUGUCCUCAUUGUGACAAAAAGUUUAGAACAUCGGGCCAUCAGAAAACUCAUAUCACUUCACAUUUUAAACAUACUGAACUAAGAAAGCUGCGACAUCAACGUAAACCUGCAAAAGUUCGAGUAGGAAAGUCGAGUGGUCCAGUACCAGACAUUCCUUUGCAAGAGCCCAUACUCAUAACUGAUUUAGGUCUUAUCCAGCCAAUCCCAAGGAAUAGCCAGGUCUUCCAAAAUUAUUUUAAUAGUAAUUUUGUGAAUAAUGCAGAGAGACCAUACAAGUGUUUUUAUUGCCAUCGAGCCUAUAAAAAAUCUUGUCAUCUAAAACAACACAUCAGGUCGCAUACUGGUGAAAAGCCAUUUAAGUGCUCUCAGUGUGGAAGAGGUUUUGUGUCAGCUGGAGUUCUGAAAGCACAUAUUAGAACACACACUGGAUUGAAAGCUUUCAAGUGUGUUGUUUGCAAUGGGGCCUUCACUACUGGUGGUAGCCUUAGGCGCCAUAUGGGGAUCCAUAAUGAUCUUCGACCGUAUAUGUGUCCGUAUUGUCAAAAGACAUUCAAAACAUCACUAAACUGUAAAAAACACAUGAAGACUCAUAGAUAUGAACUUGCACAGCAACUUCAGCAGAAUCAGCAAUCCUCUUCAAUAGAUGAUUCUACAGUAGAUCAGCAGAGCAUUCAUGUUUCUACACAGAUGCAAGUGGAGAUUCAAAGUGAUGAGCUACAGCAGUCAGAAGCUGUUGCCACAGAUCAGCAGGCUAUUUUAGAGUUAGACCAGCAACCAGUAGUAGGCACAGAAGAAGCAGCACUAGAACAACAGUUGGCUGACCAACCUUUAGAGCAAGACGAGGAUAGAUUUGUGACAUCCCAGCAUGCUUUACAGGAAAACAUCACUCAGUUUGAACAACAGGCUAUAACACAGCAGCCAUUUGAUCAACAGGGCUUAUCACAAGGUUUUACAGUGAACGACAGCUACAAUCAACAGACUCAAUUUCCAGCUGUACAGCAGCUGCAGGAUUCAAGCACACUUGAAUCUCAGGCUCUUUCAACGAGUUACCAUCCACCAGCCCUUCUUCAGGUUCCAAAUACAGACACUAUUAAUGUAACUACUCGCUUGAUACAAGAUCAGUCACCACAAGAAGAACUUGAAUUGCAUACCCAAAGGCCUCAUUUUCUUGAGGAUAAUGAAGAUCAAAGUAGGCGUUCAUAUAGAUGUGAAUAUUGCAACAAGGGUUUUAAGAAAUCCAGCCAUUUGAAACAACACGUACGAUCACAUACUGGUGAGAAACCUUAUAAAUGCCAACUCUGUGGACGUGGUUUUGUUUCCUCAGGAGUUCUUAAGUCACAUGAGAAGACUCAUACAGGAGUUAAAGCAUUCAGCUGUAGCAUUUGCAAUACCUCCUUCACAACUAAUGGCAGCCUUACCAGGCACAUGGCAACUCACAUGAGCAUGAAGCCUUACAAGUGCCCAUUCUGUGAUGAAAGCUUUCGAACAACUGUUCACUGCAAAAAACAUAUGAAAAAACAUCAGACAGUCUCCUCAGCUGUAGCAGCAGCUACAGAUACAGGAGGGGGAGUUGCAUGUGUUGAAGAUGAUGAUGAAAACUCUGAAAGAACUUCCAGAAAAUCUCGUCCUGGUGUCAUAACUUUUACAGAAGAAGAAACAGCAGAACUGGCAAAGAUUAGGCCUCAAGAAAGUGCCACUGUCUCAGAAAAAGUUCUUGUCCAGUCUGCUGCAGAGAAAGACAGAAUUAGUGAGAUCAAAGAUAAGCAAGCAGAACUGGAAGCAGAACCCAAAUAUGCCAACUGUUGUAGUUAUUGUCCCAAAAGUUUUAAAAAACCCAGUGAUUUAGUCAGGCAUGUUCGUAUCCAUACUGGAGAGAAGCCGUAUAAGUGCGAAGAAUGUGGAAAGAGUUUCACUGUAAAAUCCACUCUGGAUUGUCAUGUUAAAACACACACAGGCCAGAAGCUUUUCUGUUGUCAUGUGUGCAGUAAUUCUUUUUCUACAAAAGGGAGUCUAAAAGUCCACAUGCGUCUGCAUACAGGAGCAAAGCCCUUCAAAUGUCCACACUGUGAUUUACGGUUUCGUACUUCGGGGCGCAGGAAAACCCACAUACAGUGUCAUUAUAAACCGGAGACAAAGAAAGUUAGGAAGCCUGUUGCCCGCGCUUCAACUGAAGGACUACAACCAGUCAGCCUUCUUAAUUCAUCCUCUACAGACCCUAAUGUUUUCAUCAUGAAUAACUCCGUUCUGACAAGUCAGUUUGAUCAAAAUUUACUUCAGCAAGGACUUGUGGGCCAGGCUAUUCUGCCUGCUUCAGUGUCAGCUGGAGGUGACUUAACUGUGUCCUUGACAGAUGGUAGCUUGGCCACUCUUGAAGGAAUACAGCUACAACUUGCUGCUAAUCUGGUUGGACAAAAUGUUCAAAUUUCUGGAAUAGAUGCCAGCAGUAUUAACAACAUAACAUUACAGAUCGAUCCAAGUAUUCUACAGCAGACUUUGCAGCAGAGUAAUUUACUUACUCAGCAACUAACUGGAGAUCCCAGUAUGGCUCCACAGAAUCCCUCCCUCCAGGCAACAGAAAGUGCAGUGCCAGCUAAUGUGGUUAUUCAGCCCAUAUCAGGCCUGUCUUUGCAGCCCACGGUAACAUCAUCUGCUAAUAUGACCAUAGGAUCCCUGUCUGAGCAGGAGUCUGUGCUGACAACCAGCGCAAACGGUGCACAGGACAUUUCUCAAGUCAUAACUUCACAGGGUAUGGUGUCAUCUUCAAAUGGACAACAUGAGAUAAUGUUGACCAUAAAUAACUCCAGUUUGAGUCAAGUUCUAGCUCAUGCUUCAGGCUCUACUAAUGCGACCUCAUCAGGAAGUCCUCAAGAAAUCACUCUUACAAUAUCUGGCCAAGAUCUUAUUCAGCAUAAUUCUGGAGGCAGUGAUCUGAAUACUGGCUUAAGGCUAACAGCGCCAACCAUCAGCAGUCAGACUACAGGUGCUACAUUAACUAUAAGCAAUGACCAGCUGCUUUCUCAGGGCCCUUCACUAAAUGCUCCAGAACUUAAUACAACAGGUGGAACAAACCUUCCUUCAACAACACCCAUAUCACAGUCUGCAGUUUCUGCCCAGAAUUUGGUCAUGUCUUCAUCAGGAGUUGGAGGAGAUGGUAGUGUCACUUUGACUCUUGCUGACACUCAGGGAAUGUUGUCAGGUGGUCUUGAUGCAGUUACACUUAAUAUCACUUCACAGGGUCAACAGUUCCCUGCUAUACUCACAGAUUCCAGUCUCACUAGCCAAAGUGGAUCAGGCUCACAGCAAGUUAUACUGGUGAGCCAUACACCCCAUCCAGCACCUGCAAACUCUGAUGAAAUAACGUAUCAGGUGACAGAGGUUUCCCCUAAUGUGACUAAAAGCAGUCAAGCAGAAAAAGAAAGUCGUGGGCACCAGUGUUUUGAGUGUAGUCAAACCUUUUAUUCAGUGACCAUGCUGACGCACCAUUGUAAGGAGGUUCAUGGCAAGGAGCGAAUACACGUUUGCCACAUCUGUAAUAAGGCCUUCAAGCGGGCAACACAUCUCAAGUGUCUUUGCUUUCCUUUUGGAGUCUAAGUGAUAAUGUAUACACAGAUAGAGAACUCUCUUCUGGAGCACGGAGAGGAUUUUAAUGCAUAAUAUAUUGACUGCAGAAUGAAAAAUGUGAAUGCCUGUCAUGCAAGUAGUAGUGCCAGGAAAAGAUUUCACUUUAAUUGCAUAUGAAUAUCAUCACUGCUAAUCCUGAUUUCCAGAUAAUCUUUUGGAAUCUCAGGAAGCUAUCUGCUAUGCACUCAUUUGAUUUGUAGAUUCUGCCUUGUGGGUGGAAGUGACAUUUGUAGAGGAAGCGUUUGUUUUAAAAUAUCCUUAUGUUAUUGCUGUUGUCUAGGAUAUUUUCUGUGUUCUGUUUUCUAGAUGAUGAACAGCCAGAUACAUUGAAGUCUUUUCAAAAAAUUAAUGGUGUAUUUAAGUUCCUAAUUGUAUUAUAGGAUGUUCCUGUUAGGGAUAUUGGGCUGUACUAGGCAAGUGCUAUGUUCAGGCCAGUAUCCUAUCUCUGAGAGAUACUAAAUGGAAGUUAUUUGAAGAAGAUCUUUAGGAAGAGAGCAAACAUAUAACUUGCCCAGAAUUUUGCCAGCUUCCCAGAGUUUAUAACAGGAAAUUCCUAGAGCCAAAGGCAAUGUCUUUGUACUAAGUAGCUUUUAGGAGAGCUCUUCAAUAGAUUUCCUUUAACUCCAAUAUCGUAUUUUAAGGAAAUAUGCUCCGUUUGUGAAGUUCACCCCCUCGGACUGAUUAUGUCUGUCAACCAGACUAUUGGACCUUGGGGAAACUGUCAUAAAAUGUGUUGUUGUGAAACUUCUUGUUAAGAAGAAUUUUUUCAGGAAAAAAACAAAACAGUAUUGGUACUUGUUUUCCUUAAGUAAUGAUAACAAAACCCAAAUAUCGGUCUCUCUUCAAUUUGUUUUCUUAGAACUGGCUGUUGUUACAUUUUUUUGUCAUAAUUAAACCUUGAUUUCUGUUAUAUACUGGAUCCAAGUUAAAGAUGUGACAACAGAACUUCCUACCCUUGUAUGUCCCUUGGAUUAUUAUCCAUCAUUGAUUUUUCAGGUAGGCAGCGAUGAAGUUGCAAUAAGAAGUUCAAAGGCAGUCACAAGAGACUUCAUGGCCUUGGAACAACUUUUUAAGGGAUCAGAAGAACAAGUAAUCUUUUCUUCUAUCGUUCCGGUUGCAGGGAAUGAUGAAGGAAGAGACAGCAGAUCAGUAACUAUCUGAGACUGGCAUCACCAGCAGAAUUUUGGGGUUUUUGAUCGUGGAUUGGUCCACAUGACAGCAGGCCUGCUGCAAAUGGGCUGCACUUGUCUCAAAGGGGUAAAAGGAUCUUUGAGGAGUUAGCAAGGCUUAUUGAAAGAGCUUUAAACUAGGUUUGUAGGGGGAAAGGGAUAAAACCAGUCUCACUAGAGAUAAGCUUGUGGGUGGCACACCAAUGUUUGAGGAAUCAUAUGCUAGCAAAGCCCUUCAGUCUUCUCCACAGUGCUGAGUACACUGGAGCAUGUUUGAAGUGUCACUGUACCAGUGCAUGCAGCACCGUAGACACCUCAGGGGAGGGAGGGGAAAUGGCCAAUGACCUGAGGCACAGGUCUAUAGGGCAGGAUGGAAUACACCCAUGCGUACUGAGGGACCUGUCAGAAGAACUUGCCAAACCACUUUCAAUCAUUUAUGAGCAGCCCUGGCUCCAGGGAGGUCUCAGUUGACUGGAGGUUAACAAAUGUGACACUUGUCUACAAGAAGGGCUGGAAAUAGGAUCCAGGAAACUACAGGCUUGUCAGCCUGAUCUCAGUGCCAGGAAAGGUUAUGGAUUAACUCAUCUUGAGUGCCAUCAUGUGGCACAUACAGGACAGUCAGUGGAUCAGGCAUAGCCAGCAUGGGUUUAUGAAAGGCAGGUUCUGCUUGAGUAAUUUGAUUUCCUUCUGUGACAAGGUGACUUGCUCAGUGGUGGAGGGAAAGGCUGUGGAUGUUGUCUGCCUGAACUUCAGCAAAGCCUUUGACACCAUUUCCCAGAGCGUUCUCCUAGAGAAGCAGUCUUCCAAUGCCUUGGACCGGUGCACUGAUCACUGUCUGUAUGGCCAUGCCCAGAGUGGUGGUGAAUAGAAUUACAUCCAGCUGGUGGCCAGUCACAAGGGGUGUUCUCCAGGGCUCAGUACUGGGACCACUUCUAUUUCAUAUCUUUAUGAAUGAUCUAGACAAGGAGAAUCGAGUGCACUCUCAAUAAGUUUGCAGAGGACACUAAGUUGUGGGGGAGUGUUGAUCUGCUGGAGGGCAGAAAGGCUCUGCAGAGGGAUUUGGACAGUAUGAGAUUCAGCAGGUGAAGUGACAGGUCCUGCACUUGGGUCACAGCAAUGCUAUAGGCCAGGGGUGGAGUGGCUGUGAAGCAGCCCAGUAGAGAAAGAGAUGGGUCAACAGCAGUUGAACAAGAUCCAGCAGUGUGCCCAGGUGGCCAAAAAAGCCAGUGGCAUCUUGGCUUGUACCAGAAAUAGUGUGGCCAGCAGGACCAGGGCAGUGAUAGUCCCCCUGUACUUGUCACUGGUGAGGUUUCACCUCGAAUUCGGUUUUGGGUCCCUCACUUCAAGAAAGGCAAUGAGAUCCUGGAGUGUGUCCAGGGAAGGGCAGCAGAGCUAGUGAAGGGUGUCAAUUACAGGUCUCGUGAGGUAGCUGGGGUUGUUUAGCCUGGAGGAAAGGAGGCUCAGGGGAGACCUUAUAGCUACAAGUACCUGAAAGGAGGAUGUAGGCAGAUGGGGGUCAACCUCUUCUCCAAGGUAACAAGCAAUAGGACAAGAGGAAAUGACCUCAAUUGUGCCAGGUGAGGUUUAGAUUGGCUAUUAGGGAAAAAUUUCUUCGCUGAAAGCUUGUCGAGCAUUGGCACAGGCUUUACAGGGAAGUGGUUGAGUACCCAGCUCUGAAGGUAUUAAAAUAUGUAGAUGUGGCACUGUGAACAGUGGCUUGGUGGACAUAGUUUAGUGGUAGGUUAGGACAGUGCUGGGUUAAUGUGUGGCUUUGAUCUUAAGGGUCUUAAAGGACAGUUUCAUUUACCACUGGACCUUCAUGUACUAAAACAAAUUCCACACAUUAUCAGACUCUUCUUCAUUAAGGUGUUCCAGAAUGUCAGCUGUAAGCAGCCUUUAAUAGGAAAUUCAGCAAAGAUGAAACCUUGGGGUUUGGCUUAGGGUUUUGGGAAGGGUUCAGUGACCUCUUACUCAUGGUCUUCAUUUUAUACUGAAUAGUAUUCUGGAGAUCACCAGAAAUAUUAAGGGCACUGCCAGACUUCAGGCUUUUCAGAAAAUCCAAAUAAGAGGUAAGGGUAUCAGUCUUUUGAUGCCAGUACUUAAUUAUAUGGGUUUUUUUCCCAAAAGUAUCAGUACCAGCAGUUUCACAAUUAUCCACAAGAAAAUCUUCUUUAGAGAUUAUGUAUGAACACCCCUACCACCCACCCUGCCCCCAGUGUCAAAAAUUUUCAGUCCAGUGACUUCAGUUCCCCUUCUGAUGUGGGUGACUGUUCUGAUUUUACAGCUUCAGAGAGGAGAAUCUUAAGAUGUGCAUUGGACUAAACUGUCCAAUUCCAUAUCAGUAUGUAGUGGAAAUAUCUGCAAGUUAACUGUAGAUAGUAAAUAAAGCACAGACAUGAUUCUAAGAUGAAAUUAAAACAGCACUGUCAUCUUAUUAAAACAAUGGAAUGAAAUGAACUUUCUGCCAAUCUUUCAGAGGCGGUUACAAAUAAUGUUUCAGGAUAGGCAGAGUGGGAAUAGGAGUGACAUACCAAUGCAUGUGUGAGGGGCCGAGGGCCCUUUCAAAGAAGGUUUCCUGUUCUUAUUUUCUAAUUAGAUAAUGCUGGUUUGGAACCCCAAGGUAGUUACUAGCUGAUGAAUAUGAGAAUUACACAAAUAAACUUGUAAAAUGUCACAUGAACAAUCAAUGAAAUACUAAAUAUGUCUUUAAAGAGGUGCUUGAAGUUCAGAGCAUUGUAUUCCCAUGAACUCUUUCUCAAAAGUAUAUAUAUUUUACAGGAAAAUUAUAAGAGAUUGACAGAUCAGUGGACCUGAACUGCAUCACAAACUGUUCAGAGAAAGAUGACAGAAAGUUUAUGGUGGCUAUCUGAACGCUAUAUUGUUUGCUUUCAAGUAGAAAAUGUGUAAACAAACUCUACAGAUACAGUUUGACUCAGUUCGUGGAGUGAGGAAUAGGACUCC